rnacentral:tRNA from 2 species
AAGUAAUUAGCUCAAUGGUUAGAGCAUUUUGUUUACACCAAAAUGGUUAUGGGUUCAAGUCCCUUAUUACUUA